rnacentral:rRNA from 1 species
AUUGAACGCUGGCGGCAGGCCUAACACAUGCAAGUCGAGCGAGCGGCGGACGGGUGAGUAAUGUAUGGGGACUGCCCGAUAGAGGGGGAUAACUACUGGAAACGGUAGCUAAUACCCCAUACUAUCGGAUAACCCAUAUGGGAUUAGCUAGUAGGUGAGGUAAUGUCUCACCUAGGCGACGAUCCCUAGCUGGUCUGAGAGGAUGAUCAGCCACGCUGGGAAGGGGACACGGCCCAGACUCCUAGGGAGGACGCAGUGGGGAAUAUUGAACAAGGGGCGCAAGCCUGAGGCAGCCAUGCCGCGUGUAUGAAGAAGGCCCUAGGGUUGUAAAGUACUUUCAGUCGGGAGGCGUUACCGACAGAAGAAGCACCGGCUAACUCCGUGCAAGCAGCCGCGUAAUAC